rnacentral:rRNA from 1 species
UGGGCGUGUGUGAGCUUUAAACCCUCGCUGUUUGCAAUGUUUGUGCUUUUUGGGUGUACUUUUUCGUAUGGUAGGCCAACGUCAGUUUUGGUCGCUAUAAAAUGACCGGAGGAAUGUAGCUUUGAUCUCGUAUUGAAGUGUUAUAGCCUUUGGUAGAUGUGGUGAUCGAUAUUGAGGAUUGCAACGGAUACCUUUUGGGCUAUCCGUCUGACCUCUGAAAGUUACUUAGGUGCCGAAAGCGUGCUUACGGCCAUUUAAGUUGACGGUCAAUAGGUUAGAGCGGGUUAAA